rnacentral:rRNA from 1 species
AGUUUGAUCCUGGCUCAGAACGAACGCUGGCGGCAGGCUUAACACAUGCAAGUCGAACGCCCCGCAAGGGGAGUGGCAGACGGGUGAGUAACGCGUGGGAACAUACCCUUUUCUACGGAAUAGCUCUGGGAAACUGGAAUUAAUACCGUAUACGCCCUACGGGGGAAAGAUUUAUCGGGGUAUGAUGAGCCCGCGUUGGAUUAGCUAGUUGGUGGGGUAAAGGCCUACCAAGGCGACGAUCCAUAGCUGGUCUGAGAGGAUGAUCAGCCACAUUGGGACUGAGACACGGCCCAAACUCCUACGGGAGGCAGCAGUGGGGAAUAUUGGACAAUGGGCGCAAGCCUGAUCCAGCCAUGCCGCGUGAGUGAUGAAGGCCUUAGGGUUGUAAAGCUCUUUCACCGGUGAAGAUAAUGACGGUAACCGGAGAAGAAGCCCCGGCUAACUUCGUGCCAGCAGCCGCGGUAA